UUAGCAUAUCAAUAAGCGGAGGAAAAGAAACCAACAGGGAUUGCCCUAGUAACGGCGAGUGAAGCGGCAACAGCUCAAAUUUGAAAUCUGGCUUCGGCCCGAGUUGUAAUUUGCAGAGGAUGUUUAUGGUGCGGUACCUUCCGAGUUCCCUGGAACGGGACGCCACAGAGGGUGAGAGCCCCGUCUGGUUGGAUACCAAACCUGUGUUAAACUCCUUCAACGAGUCGAGUAGUUUGGGAAUGCUGCUCUAAAUGGGAGGUAAAUCUCUUCUAAAGCUAAAUACCGGCCAGAGACCGAUAGCGCACAAGUAGAGUGAUCGAAAGAUGAAAAGCACCUUGAAAAGGGGGUUAAACAGUACGUGAAAUUGUUGAAAGGGAAGCGUUUAUGACCAGACUUGUGUCGUGUGGCUCAUCCGAGGUUUUCCCCGGUGCACUCCACACGGCUCAGGCCAACAUCGGUUCUCGUUGGGGGAUAAGAACAGUAGGAACGUGGCCCCCUUCGGGGGGUGUUAUAGCCUAUUGUACGAUACUCUGACGGGGACCGAGGACCGCGCUUCGGCUAGGAUGUUGGCGUAAUGGUCAUUAGCGACCCGUCUUGAAACACGGACCAAGGAGUCGUCCAUUAGAGCGAGCGUUUGGGUGUAAAACCCGCACGCGUAAUGAAAGUGAAAUUAGGUGAGAGCUUCGGCGCAUCAUCGACCGAUCCUGAAGUUUACGGAUGGAUUUGAGUAAGAGUUUUAACGGACGGACCCGAAAGACAGUGAACUAUGCUUGAAUAGGGUGAAGCCAGAGGAAACUCUGGUGGAGGCUCGCAGCGGUUCUGACGUGCAAAUCGAUCGUCAAAUUUGA
rnacentral:rRNA from 1 species